GACGAACGCUGGCGGCGUGCUUAACACAUGCAAGUCGAACGGUAAGGCUCCAGCUUGCUGGGGCACACGAGUGGCGAACGGGUGAGUAACACGUGGGUGACCUGCCCUGCACUUCGGGAUAAGCCUGGGAAACUGGGUCUAAUACCGGAUAGGACCGCACCGUGAGGGUGUGGUGGAAAGUUUUUUCGGUGUGGGAUGGGCCCGCGGCCUAUCAGCUUGUUGGUGGGGUAAUGGCCUACCAAGGCGGCGACGGGUAGCCGGCCUGAGAGGGUGGACGGCCACAUUGGGACUGAGACACGGCCCAGACUCCUACGGGAGGCAGCAGUGGGGAAUAUUGCACAAUGGGCGGAAGCCUGAUGCAGCGACGCCGCGUGGGGGAUGACGGCCUUCGGGUUGUAAACUCCUUUCACCAUCGACGAAGGGUUUCUGACGGUAGAUGGAGAAGAAGCACCGGCUAACUACGUGCCAGCAGCCGCGGUAAUACGUAGGGUGCGAGCGUUGUCCGGAAUUACUGGGCGUAAAGAGCUCGUAGGUGGUUUGUCGCGUCGUCUGUGAAAUUCCGGGGCUUAACUCCGGGCGUGCAGGCGAUACGGGCAUAACUUGAGUACUGUAGGGGAGACUGGAAUUCCUGGUGUAGCGGUGAAAUGCGCAGAUAUCAGGAGGAACACCGGUGGCGAAGGCGGGUCUCUGGGCAGUAACUGACGCUGAGGAGCGAAAGCAUGGGGAGCGAACAGGAUUAGAUACCCUGGUAGUCCAUGCCGUAAACGGUGGGCGCUAGGUGUGGGUUUCCUUCCACGGGAUCCGUGCCGUAGCUAACGCAUUAAGCGCCCCGCCUGGGGAGUACGGCCGCAAGGCUAAAACUCAAAGGAAUUGACGGGGGCCCGCACAAGCGGCGGAGCAUGUGGAUUAAUUCGAUGCAACGCGAAGAACCUUACCUGGGCUUGACAUAUACAGGAUCGCGCCAGAGAUGGUGUUUCCCUUGUGGCUUGUAUACAGGUGGUGCAUGGUUGUCGUCAGCUCGUGUCGUGAGAUGUUGGGUUAAGUCCCGCAACGAGCGCAACCCUUGUCUUAUGUUGCCAGCACGUUGUGGUGGGGACUCGUAAGAAACUGCCGGGGUUAACUCGGAGGAAGGUGGGGAUGACGUCAAAUCAUCAUGCCCCUUAUGUCCAGGGCUUCACACAUGCUACAAUGGUCGGUACAGUGGGUUGCCAGUCCGUGAGGGCGAGCUAAUCCCGCAAAGCCGGUCUCAGUUCGGAUCGGGGUCUGCAACUCGACCCCGUGAAGUCGGAGUCGCUAGUAAUCGCAGAUCAGCAACGCUGCGGUGAAUACGUUCCCGGGCCU
rnacentral:rRNA from 1 species